GACGAACGCUGGCGGCGUGCUUAACACAUGCCAGUCGAACGGAAAGGCCUGCUUUCCCUUGUGGAUUGCGGGUACUCGAGUGGCGAACGGGUGAGUAACACGUGAGUGAUCUGCCCCCAACUUGGGUAUAAGCCUGGGAAACUGGGUCUAAUUCCCGAUAGGACUGCAGGGUGGUGCCUGUGGUGGAAAACGAUUUUCUAGUGGUUGGGGAUAAGCUCGCGGCCUAUCAGCUUGUUGGUGGGGUAAUGGCCUACCAAGGCGGCGACGGGUAGCCGGCCUGAGAGGGUGGACGGCCACAUUGGGACUGAGAUACGGCCCAGACUCCUGCGGGAGGCAGCAGUGGGGAAUAUUGCACAAUGGGCGGAAGCCUGAUGCAGCGACGCCGCGUGGGGGAUGACGGCCUUCGGGUUGUAAACUCCUUUCGACCGCGAGGAAGCCACCUGGUUGGAAGGGUGGUGACGGUAGUGGUAGAAGAAGCACCGGCUAACUACGUG
rnacentral:rRNA from 1 species